UAUCAGACAUUGAACUUUUGAUCUUGCCCAGGCUAACAAUGUGUCAUAUUUAUCUGUAUGCAUCUAAUAUACCAGUAUAUAUAUGUAAUAUUACUCCAAAUUUUUAUUUCAGUUCAACUGAGAUUUGAUUUACAAGAGUAACUUGGAAUAAGAGAACAUUAUAAUAAAGGAGGACAGAAACCAAGAAAUAGACCAUUGCCAAAGAAAGUGGACAGAAGGGAAGAAGAAAAAGGUUACAAAUUUUACAAAAUCCAAGUGUGCUAACGGAAUGAUGCCAAGCGAUGAAGAAGAUGAUGAGGGCUUCUUGUUAUACCGAUAUUCAUAGGAAAGCAACUCCUUUAAAACAUACAUAGAAAUUUGUCUGGCAAGAAGAAAUAGACUCGUCUAAACAAGAACGGGGGAUCUAUAAAAGACAAAGACAAACCCAAGGCUGCAGAUGAUUUCUUUUGGAUAUUUAGAUGAGAUCUUCAUUGGGACUUGGACAAUAAGCCUAUUUUCUGUAUAAAUAUAUAUCACAAUAUUUGUACCAUGAUCCAUUUUAUAUUAAUCUGAUUUUGAAAUUUACAAGUGUUUUUUUUAUUACAAAUACAAAUUUAUCAUAUUAACUAUGUAAAAAUAUAUUGUUUUUAAAUAUGAUAUUGGAACAAAUCAAACUUUAAUAUAGUGAUUGUGUUUGAAAUAUGUGACUGUUCUUUAUACAUUUAUUCACUAUCUUGAAUAAUUGGUCUGAAAUUAUUGUUACAGUAACUUUUGUAAAUGUUUUCAUCUUAAAUUUGAUGUUUUCAUCACAUUAAUCUUCAAAUGAAAAUACUGAAAAAUGAUAAUUUUGAUUACAGGCAAUUUUCUUUGUGAAUUGACAAUUUGAAAAAAGAGUAAUGUGACAAGGACUUUAUUUUAGUUUGCCCUUAUACAAGUAUAUGUAUGUUGUACUUAAUAAUAGUUGAAUAAAUAUUUUUAUAUGUACUAGAAAA